UACGUAGGAUGCAAGCGUUGUCCGGAAUUAUUGGGCGUAAAGAGUUCGUAGGCGGUUGCCUAAGUCUGGUGUUAAAUACAGGAGCUCAACUCCUGCAUGGCACUGGAAACUGGGCGGCUAGAGUGUGGUAGAGGUCACGGGAAUUCCAGGUGUAGCGGUGAAAUGCGUAGAUAUUGGGAAGAACACCGGUGGCGAAGGCGGCUAUCUGGACCGUAACUGACGCUGAGGCGCGAAAGCGUGGGGAUCAAACAGG
rnacentral:rRNA from 1 species